AAAUUAACCGCUAGACCAUCAUCAAUCGAUAAUCUCCAACCUCUCAUCUGCAAUCAUCGUAAGUUAUAAGCCCUUCCUUGCUGGAUGAGUAUGAUUUUGUUUAAUUUCAAUCUUGUUUGAUCCUUGCUUAAUCUCUUAAUGUUCUAUAGGAUGGUUAUACUACUUGUUGCAGGGCAAAGUCUAAAACUUUUCUUUUUUACUCUAUUGAGUGAAGGUGUGGAUUUCUCAAUUGAAUUAUUUAACUUUUAGUUGAGUUUUAAUUCUUUUUAAUCUAAUUAGUUUUAUUUUUUUGAAGUAAACCCUUCAGCAUGCUAAUAAAAACCAAAUAUCAUCACAAAAGGUAGCAGCAAAAUGAUGAUGAUUGUUCUUCUAUUUUUCCUGAUUUAUAUUUAAAGAUGGUUAAAGCGUUAUAAUCAAUUUCACCUCUACUUGUCUCUUUGUUACACGCAACACAUAACUUUCAUAUUAUGUUUUUUAGAAACCAAGUUUAAAAAUGUCGGAGAAGAAAAAGAGGGGAGUUUCUAAAUGCAAAAAGAACCUUUCAAAUCCGGAUCAAUCUAAAGUUGAUUUUAAUGAGGAGGGUACAGCGAUCGGUAAGAAUGCAGGGAGCUUUAUGUCUUGGAUUGGUGUCGAAUGUAAAAGAAAGAUCUCGUACAAUAAACGUGCUAGAAAAGUAAACCCUAAAAUAUACGAAGAUAUCUGGGAAUACGCUAAGGUAUUUAUAUGUAGCUGGGAAACAGGAGGGUUUAAAUAAUACUACGUAUUUUCAUCCCCGUUAUAUUGAAGGUGAACUUGUCUCAGAUGGUGACUUUGUGAUUGACCACACCAAAAAGGUUAUCUCUUUUCAUAAGGACAAACAAUGGUUUAUUGCACCAUACAUAGCCGGGAAACACUGGGUAUUAAUUAUACUUCAACAUCAUCCGGUAUAUAAAACUUGGAAGGGUUACAUAUUUGAUUCACAUAAAGGUAAAGAUGAUGAUUUUUCAUGUUACGAGAUUAUAACAUUAUUCAAACAGGCCAUAGAACAAAAUAUGACGUGGGCUAAGGUUAAAGUAAGUUCUGAUUCAUUUUCUAUAACUUGUUUAUUUUUAGAUUUUAGUUAACUAAUUGUAAGUUCAAUUAACUAUUUAGUGUUGUCUACAACCUAAUGGAUGGGAGUGCAGUUAUUGUGUUAUGUUGGCUAUGUAUGAUUUUGUGAUUUGUAACAGAGAACAUAUGGUAAGUAUAUUGUGUACAUUCCUAUUUAUAUACCUUUAACAACAAUGAGUAUUAAACUAUAACCUAACUUCUAUCUAUCUUUAUGUUUUAAUUGGUAAAUAAAACUACAAUGGUUCGUCAAGGUGAAAUAAAUUUGUAGAGCGUACUUUAAAGGUGUUUAUAUCAUAUUUUGAGGAUGAGAAUGAUCAAUGAAGGUAAGUGUAUUAGUAUGGAAUCUAUUCAUGGUAUUUUUUUUUUAAAGUUUUUCUACAUUUUUAUAAAUAUUUGAUUAGGACACUUGAGUGAGCCCCUAAAUAUAGUCUUUUGAUUUAUUAUAUUGAGAAUUAAUUGCAAAGAUGGUUAAGUCACUUUGACUCGUUCGUCUAUUUGACCCAAGGGCCUAGGCACACAUAUAUUAUUACGGUUUCUUAGGAGCAACACAUGACUUUGUAUUAAUGUUGACUGUAGUUGGCAUGACUUAUGCAUUAAAAUUUUCUAGAUUUUGGGAUUGUGCUUUAUUUUAAUCCUAAAUGUUAGCUGAUAGACAUUUUGUGUGUUUUGAUCAGUGGCAAAGGAAUUCUAGUUAGCUGGUGUUACUUAGAGCUUGUGGUGGAUGAAGGAAGUUGCACAAAGUCAAAGGUUUUUGCAGUGUUUUUUGCAUGGGUGUAAAACUGAAUGAAUUGAUGUUUUUUUUAUGUUUUUUCUUUGUUAAAUUGAAUGCUUUAGACUAAUGGGUCAAGAUGGAUUCUUUAGCUAUUUAUAAAACGGUUCAUUGUUUGGUA